UGAUGGGGAGAAGCUGAGUCUCAUAAAGCUUGCAACUUUGAUUGAAGUGUCGGCCAAGAAAGCUACUCAGGAGCUGAACCUGCAGCACAAGCUGAUAGAUAAUCUCGAGUGGCUUCCUGAUUCUCUAGGAAAGUUAUCGAGUCUAGUUAGGUUGGAUCUGUCUGAGAAUUGCAUCAUGGCGCUACCACCGACCAUAGGAGGGCUUUUGUCUUUGACGUGGCUCGAUUUGCAUUCGAAUAGAAUCGGUCAGCUCCCUGAGUCUAUAGGAGAUUUGAUGAACUUGGUCAACCUGAACCUUAGUGGAAACCAGUUGACGUCUCUACCAUCGUCUCUGAGUAGAUUGAUCAGUCUCGAGGAGCUUGAUUUGAGCUCUAAUAGCCUCUCUGUUCUCCCUGAAACCAUCGGCUCUCUCGGGAGCCUCGAGAAGCUCGACGUUGAAACAAACAACAUCGAAGAGAUUCCAAGCACAUUUCUUAAAAACAACCAAGACUUUAGGUAAUUAUCUAUAAAAAAAUAAAAAUCAGCUGGGUAUACGACUUCAUUCGUCGUCAAGUGCAUAUGCCUCUGGUUACCUAUUAGUUUUAAACAUGGAGUUGGUGAUAAUGAAAGAUACUACUAAGCUACUGCAAAAUAUUGUUUUACUUAAAAUAAUGUGAAAAUAUCUUUUUUGAAGUGUGAAAAAUACUUAGAACAAAGAUUUUGGUCUAAGACAAUGUCAUAAAGGUUAGGAUAUCAGAUACAAAACAGCGUUAAUAAACAUCUUUUAGCGUUCAAAUAAUCGUCAUGCAGCAGUUAAGAACCUUUUAAUAAACUAUUUUUCUGAAUGUCUAAGUAGAUUUUAUAAAAGUUAUUCUAGAAAAAUUAUUUUGUUUCGAUCCGAUUUUUAGAAUAUUGUUUUCCAAAAACUAAAUUUGAUUCAAAGACACAAUACAUAAUCUUUCAAUUCUAUGCAGUUUCACAUACUUAAAAAAAAUAUUUUUAUAAGUUUACAAAAAAAAAAAUUCUUAAAUGUAUACUUAAAACAUAAAUUCAAAAUACAUAAUUAUGUUAUGAACUGAUUUGUGAAUGCCAUAACCAAAUAGACAUAUUUCCUUUCUAUUUAGACAGUUUCCUUUUCUUUGUAUGCUUAGGAUUUUCUUUUUCUAAUCAUUUUAGGAUUUGUAUACUUUCCAUUUAUCUAUGACGGUCUAUUGUAAUUCCCUAUAUAUAUAAAGGGCUCCAUAAUUAUGAGAAAUAUACAAUCUCUUUCUCCCAUUAAUUUACAACACGGUAUCAGCACGAUUGAUCUCUAAAACCCUAAGCUAAAAUAUCGACCAUAAACCCUAAAUCUCUCUCCAUUGCUAAAACCCUAAUCUCUAUCGAUCACCUCUCUUUGAUCAUGACCCUGAUCUGUAUUCGACCACUGAUCUCAACAAGAUCGAUCUGUGGACUGAUCUCUGCAAGUUUCAGUACGCCUCAACUAUUUCAGAUUGUACGAUCAGCCUGUUCCAGUCCGUGAUCAAAUUGUUCCAGAUCUACGAGUUCUUUGACUGCAAGUACCAGCUCGCAUACCAACGAUCCCGAUCAGCUCAACCUAAGCUCGCGGACUGCAAGGAAACAAUUUGGACCAGUCCGCGUAAGGUUCCAGUUUGUACCAGUCCAAGUAAGCUCAGUCUCUUGGUGGUCCAUUCAACCCAUCAAAGGUUUAAUGUAUACCUAAACUCUAAGAACCCAGAAUCGAAUGAACUAAUGUUCAAAGUGAAACCCUAAAAUCUGUAAACCCUAAAUUACGUGUGCCUGGAUUGUUUUAUUUGAUUGAUUGAAUGUUUCUUUCAGGUUUAAAUCCGUGAGAGUUAUGAUUGAUAGUUUUUAUAACCUGAUUGAAUGAUUUGAGGUUUAAUAUUGCAUGUUAGAAUCUGUUAUAAUAUAAACCCUAAUUCGAAUUGAUAAACCCUAAAAUAGAAUCCGUGUAUUACAUAAUCCGAAUUGAAAGUUUUGAGGUUUCAUAUUAUACUAGGUUGAUAGUUUCACGAUAUAAUCAAUUGUUCUGAGGUUUAAGAUUAUUUGCUAGAAACUGAUUGAUUGAUAAAACCCUAAUUUCGAAUUGAAACCCUAAACCCUAAUUUGAGUAUUCUUAAAAUCAGAUUUCUUGAUUCCAUCUUGCUAAUAUCAUCCUUGAAACUGAUAAAUAUCAGCCUUGAAACUGAUUAAUAAAAUUGAUAGAAUCAGCCUUGAAACUGAUUGUUUUGGUUUUUCAUGAUUGAAACCCUAUUUUUGGAUCGAAACCCUAAAUUGUGUAAUGCUUGAAUCCGUUUGAUUAUUUUGAUUAUUGAUUCAAUUGUUAGUCUUGAUAAAACCUAAUAGAAUCUGAUUGUUAGUCUAGCUAAAUCUCAUACCUGAAACUGAUUGAUUAAUUGCUAAACCUUGAUUGAAUGUUUUAAUAUUACCCUUGCACAUAUAGAAUCCGAUUGCUAAGAAUCAAUCAAACUGGAAGACCUAAAUCAUACUCAUCUAAUUUCUUCUUCUCCACUUUCUGAGACUUCUCAAAAUAAUUCUGUGGUAAUUCCUUAAUCUAAACCCAAGUUUCUUAAUUCUGUGUUAGUCUCCACUUUUUUUAGUUUUGAUAAUGGUUUCGUUUCGUUUUUGUCUUGCUCGAUGAUUCACUUGAUGACUAAGUUACGUUUGUUUGAUUCUUUUGAUUUUUGAGUUUUGUUUUGUUGUUUUGUGAUUUGACUUUUGUUCAUUGUUCAACUUGAUUUUGAAUCAUAUAAUUCUUUGCGAAUUGUCUUUUGUUUUGUUGCUUUGCUUUGUGACUUGACUUUUGUUUUGUUGCUUUGUGACUUGCGAAUAUAAUUCUUUAUCAAAGUUUAAGCAAAACAGAUCAUACGUUUGAAUAUUGUUUAAUUUAGUAUGUGUUGUUUCAAACUUUCAUUUUUUUAAUUCUGUUUUUUCUUUAAUAUAGAUGGCUUCUUGUGAGAAUCCAGUUGGAAGGGAUGAAGAUGAACCAAUGCAUGUUGAAGAUAGUGAUUCUGAUUGAAGUCAUGAUGAAAUUAGGACUCCAAGUUCUCGUAAACGCAAAGAAGCUGAUGGUGGAAGUACUUCAAAAUCAGGAAAGAAAACAAGAUCUUGGGUUUGGAAUCACUUCGCGAGGCUGCAAAAAGACAAUGACAAAGCUAAGUGUCACCAUUGUGGGAAGGAGAUGAUUUGUCCAAGCAAAAUCAGGAACAUCAAAUAUGAAGAAGCAUUUGAAUUUUGCGUGUAAGGGUUACAAAUUAUGGCAAGCUGCAAAUAAGUUCAAUAAGCAAGGUCAAGAUGGUGAUGAUGACAGUCUUAUGAUCUGCAAGGUUUCUGAAUCAGUGUUCAGGGAAGCUUCUAAUGAGAUGAUGGUCUUGGGAGAACUGCCAUUAGCUUGGGUAGAAGGUUUAGCAUGGAAACACUUCUGCGACAAGGUUAAACUUUACAGCCCUCAUUCUAGGAGAAUAGCUUCAAGGGAUAUAGUUGAGAUAUAUGUGAAAAAGAAAGCUGCCAUGAAGAAGAUUCUUGUAGAUAAUAAGCAAAGGCUCUCACUGACAACAGACAUAUGGGUUGCUCCUUAUACAAGAGCAAGUUAUAUGGUUGUAACGGCCCAUUUUAUUGAUUCAUGCUGGCAGCUAAAGAAGUUGAUUAUUGGAUUCAAGAAUGUGUAUGAUCACAAAGGUGCAACCAUCUGUAAGGUUCUGAUUGACUGUUUAGCAUAAUGGGAGAUCAAACGGGUGUUCAGUAUCACUGUUGAUAAUGCCACAGCCAAUAGUUCAGCUAUGAGGAGAUUCAAGGAGCAAUUUGUCGAAAAUGGAGAUGAUGCUUUGGUACUUAAUGGUCGGUUUCUCCAUUUGAGGUGUGCUACUCACAUACUGAAUUUGAUCGUUAAAGAAGGAUUGCUUGAGGCAGACAACAAUAUCAGUGCCAUUCGAAAUGGCAUCUGCUUUGUGAGGUCUUCAACACCUAGAAUGAAUUCAUUUGAGAAGAGAGUAGAAUCAAGAAGACUUCAGAGAGGGAGCUUGCCUUUGGAUGUAGAGACAAGAUGGAAUUCUACUUAUCUCAUGCUAGAACAAGCUUUGAAGUUCAAGGUUGGUUUUGAGAAGAUGGCGGCUGAAGAUAAGCCAUAUAAUGACUACUUCAAUGAAACUAUACAGGGAACAAAACGCAUUGGGCCACCGAGUAAAGCUGACUGGGAAGCUGUUAACCGGUUAGUUCAGUUCUUGAUCAUAUUUUACAGUGCAACUUUGGUUCUUUCUGCUUCAACAAGUGCUUGUUCCCAUAAGCUAUACCAUGCUAUAGUCACGGUGCAAAGAAACAUCAGUGCAUUGAGUAACACACCUGGUCCGGAUGCUAUCUUAAGGUCUAAGGCUGCAUCAAUGUUAGGAAAGUUAGGGAAGUAUUGGGAUCCAUUUGGGGAACAUAAGGAGAUGAAUAAACUUGUGAUAGUUGCUGGUGUUUUCGAUCCGAGCAAGAAGAUGAAGGUUACUACCAAGCUUUUUGAGAAACUCUAUGGUGUAGGAGGUGUUCGGGUUACUCAACUAACCACUGAAAUUGAGGACAUCGUGAGAAGCCUUUUUGAUGAGUACAACAACAAUGUGAAGAAGCGACGUGAUGCUGCAGCUGGUGGAUCUUCUACUCAGGCUCAAGGUAAUUCUUCUCAGUUUCAAGAACAACCUGGUGAAGAAGUAUCUCAAAAUACAGUUCUUGGGAAUGGUCUUGCUUAUGAGAGCAUGAAUGAUAUAUAUAAUGAGCUUGUUCAAGAAUCAGGGUUUCAAGAAAAAACAGAUGAGUUAGAUUUAUAUCUAAAAGAGAAUGUGGAGACUCGGAAUUUAACGGCAGGUUCAUAGUAUGAUGUUCUUUCUUAUUGGAGGUUGAGCAGUGCAAAGUAUCCGGUUCUGUCUCUAGUUGCUAGGGAUGUACUUGCUAUGCAAGUGUCUUCAGUUGCAUCCGAAUCAGCCUUUAGCACAAGUGGUCGAGUUCUAGAUCCAAGUAGAAGUUGCUUAACCCAUUACAUGAUUGACGUGCUAAUGUGCACUGAACAAUGGUUGAAAUGUGAGAUUAAAAUCAAGGGAAAAGGAGUUGUAAGGAAAGAACAACUACUUAAGGAGAUAGAAGAGAAAUAUGCACUUAUGAGAGGUAUUUUUAACCUUUCGGCUUUAAGUUUAAAGCUUAUGUUACUUAUUUUUGAAUGACUGAUAACCUUCACUUAUAUGUAUUGUAGAAUUUGAACCAGCGUUUAACAUCCAAGGCCAAGGUCCCUGAAUACAAACUUCCAAAGAACAAAUGAGGUUGUGCCUUAGUGACUUGGUCUGAAUCUGAACUUGUGUUAGUAUGAACUAUGAAGCUAGUGUUUUCGACUUGUUUGUAUGAAGUUAAUGACUUUGAGUUGAUCUUGAUAGUAUGAAGUUAUGAAAUAUGAAGUUAGUGAUUUCGACUAGUACAUUUUUUGGCUUGUUUUGAUUAUCGGCUUGAUUGUAAAUUUGUAAUUAUGUUAAUAGGCAUGUGAAAUGGAGACUAGUUAUGGUCGGCUGGAAGCAAAGAAACUUGGAGAAGACGUGAUGAAGUUGUUGUUUUCUAUUUUCUUUUGUUUUUGGAUUGAAACUUCAUAAGAUUUAUGUUAUUUAGUACUUUUGUGUGGUUGAAUUGUUUGCAAAAACAUAUAAGUUUGAUAUGAAAUUAUGGAUAUUUGGUUUUCAAUGCUUCGUAAACAGGUUUACAUGGGUAAAGAUUUCGGGUUUCAGGUUAAAUGUUACGAGAACUACUGAAAAAUACCCGAAACUCAUGGAACCGAACCGAAAAAACCCGAAAAACCUGUACCCGAACCGGAACCGGAUGUGAUCCGAAAAAACAGGUUCUUUUGCAGGUUUUUUAUUUUUAGACCCGAACCCGAACCGAAAUUCUCUCAAGUACCUAUUGGGUAUAAAUUUUCUAGACCCGAAAGAUCCGGAUCCGAAAAAAACCGAUCCGAACCCGACCCGAAGAUCCGAAUGCCCAGGCCUAAUGGUAGAAAUAAUGUGAAAUUUUUGUGAAUAAUCAAUGGAAUAUAGAAGACGGCGUGAGAAGAAGAUUACCAAUUUUUUUUUGCUUUUUUUUGUUUUUUUUUAAAUCGAUUUUUUUCAAAAUAUGAAAGUGAAUAUUCCCAAAUAUUUUGUUUUCAUAUUUUUAGGAACUGAUUUCUUAUUCAUAUAAUAUAGCUAAUAUGUAGAAAUUGGUUUCUACAGUUUUUAGAAUUAUAGUAAUGUGUAGAUUUUGAUUUCUACAUGUUUUAGAUUUACAGUAAAUCUGUAGAAGUCUGUUUCCACGUGUUUUAGAUUUAUAUUAAUAUGUAGAUUUUGAUUUCUAAAGAUUUUAGAUACGUAGGUUAAGCGCAUAAUGUGUAUUUUAAAUAUUUUUAGAAUACUCUUAUUUACGUAGAUCACGUAUUCUAAACAUUGUAGAUUCAAUGAAAAAAGUGGAUUUCAUUUUCUACUUCGUUGAAAUGACAUUUCUACUUUAUUUAGAACAAAAUCUGAAAAUUAUGAUUUAAACAUUUUUAGAAUUGAAAAAAUACCACUAAGUUCAUUAAGGUAUUUUAUCAAUAGUUACUAUUUUUCUAAUUUUUUUUGUUUGUAAAACUAUUUAUUAAAUUUAUUUUUAAAAAUAUUAAACGAUAUUAUAGACAAAAAUGACACGAAAUAGAUAUUAAUCUAAGGAUAUAGUUAUCGUUUUUUCUCUAAAAAAAACAAUUUUCCCAAGAAAAAAUUAAAAAACAAGAAGAAUAUCCAUAAGAAUGGGAGAAAGUGGAAAGAACGUGACACACUGGCAUACGCCGAGUCUAUAGAUAACUGAUUGAGAGCCAUUAUUAAAAUUUCAAAUUCCUCAAAAUAUUAUUUCUUCAUAUGUUACACGAUCAUUUUAAUAUAUUAAUUACAGUUCACGUCAAAUCUUUAAGAUUACUAAUAUCUUUUAAAUUAUUAAUUUGCAGGUCGAGAGAAGAAGAAACGAAGAAUGAGAAGACGAAAGAGAAAACAGCUGUCAUCAUUGUUUGAGCCUAUACAAGAACCGUUGUGAAAUCAUCUUCUUCAUUGGUGAAUGGUGAUGAUGGAUAAACAUUUGGAUUCGAUGAAUCAGGUGGUGGAAGAGAUCAUGAGCAUCCACAGAUCUUUACCCUCUAGACCAGACAUCGACGACGUCGAAGCCGCGACUUCUCUCAUACAGAACGUCGAAAACGACGAUCAGAGCCGCUUGGACGCCGUCGAUAGGCAGAUCAAAAGCUCCGGCGUUCCUCAGGAGCUUUUCGACGCGCUGCAGGAGAUGAGGAGAGGUCUCGUUCGUUUCCAGAGUAAAGAACAGAAGAGAGAGGCCGCGAAAGUGCUCGAUCUCGAAUCUGCACACGUCGUGUUCGACGAAUUGAUUCAGAGAGCUUCUCGUUGCGUUGCUUCUCCGCCUUCCUCCGAUACGAAUCCGUCUCGGCCUCCGCUAGCGCCGGUUGUUUCUCCGGCGAGUUUGUAUUCUUCUGAUCAGACUCCUGUCAAGUCCAAGGAGAUGUUCACACGCGACGAUACGUUUGUGACCAAGGUCAAAUCUUCGCUCUAUAGUGACGGUUUCUUAGCUCCUCGCAAGCCUCAGGUUUUGGAUUCAACACUUCAGGCUAAGAAUCUCAGUGGUGAGAAAACCUUAAAUGUCUAAACUUUUUGAGAUAGAAUCUGAGCUUAAGUGUUUACAUGUGAUUAGUUUAAUAAUUGAAGUGGAAUGAUUAUGUGUAGGCCAUGAUGGGGAGAAGCUGAGUCUCAUAAAGCUUGCAACUUUGAUUGAAGUGUCGGCCAAGAAAGCUACUCAGGAGCUGAACCUGCAGCACAAGCUGAUAGAUAAUCUCGAGUGGCUUCCUGAUUCUCUAGGAAAGUUAUCGAGUCUAGUUAGGUUGGAUCUGUCUGAGAAUUGCAUCAUGGCGCUACCACCGACCAUAGGAGGGC
rnacentral:lncRNA from 1 species